GGUUAAGCGACUAAGCGUACACGGUGGAUGCCCUGGCAGUCAGAGGCGAUGAAGGGCGUGCUAAUCUGCGAUAAGCGCCGGUAAGGUGAUAUGAACCGUUAUAACCGGCGAUACCCGAAUGGGGAAACCCAGUGUGAUUCGUCACACUAUCAUUAACUGAAUCCAUAGGUUAAUGAGGCGAACCGGGGGAACUGAAACAUCUAAGUACCCCGAGGAAAAGAAAUCAACCGAGAUUCCCCCAGUAGCGGCGAGCGAACGGGGAGGAGCCCAGAGCCUGAAUCAGCAUGUGUGUUAGUGGAAGCGUCUGGAAAGGUGCGCGAUACAGGGUGACAGCCCCGUACACAAAAGCGCAUGUGCUGUGAGCUCGAUGAGUAGGGCGGGACACGUGGUAUCCUGUCUGAAUAUGGGGGGACCAUCCUCCAAGGCUAAAUACUCCUGACUGACCGAUAGUGAACCAGUACCGUGAGGGAAAGGCGAAAAGAACCCCGGCGAGGGGAGUGAAAAAGAACCUGAAACCGUGUACGUACAAGCAGUGGGAGCACAGGUUUACCUGUGUGACUGCGUACCUUUUGUAUAAUGGGUCAGCGACUUAUAUUCUGUAGCAAGGUUAACCGUAUAGGGGAGCCGGAGGGAAACCGAGUCUUAACCGGGCGUUAAGUUGCAGGGUAUAGACCCGAAACCCGGUGAUCUAGCCAUGGGCAGGUUGAAGGUUGGGUAACACUAACUGGAGGACCGAACCGACUAAUGUUGAAAAAUUAGCGGAUGACCUGUGGCU
rnacentral:rRNA from 1 species